rnacentral:rRNA from 1 species
UACAGAGGGUGCGAGCGUUGUUCGGAAUCAUUGGGCGUAAAGCGCUUGUAGGCGGCCUGUCAAGUCGCGUGUGAAAUCCCCUGGCUUAACCAGGGAAGUGCGCGCGAAACUGGCGGGCUUGAGUGCCGGAGAGGGUCGCGGAAUUCCAGGUGUAGCGGUGAAAUGCGUAGAUAUCUGGAGGAAUACCGGUGGCGAAGGCGGCAUCCUGGACCAUAACUGACGCUGAGGCGCGAAAGCUAGGGGAGCAAACGGGG